GCCGGGGUGGUGAAAGCGGUAGACACAGAGGACUUAAAAUCCUCUGGACCGAGAGGUCCGUGCGGGUUCGAGUCCCGCCCCCGGCACCA
rnacentral:tRNA from 1 species